UACGUAGGGUGCGAGCGUUGUCCGGAAUUAUUGGGCGUAAAGAGCUCGUAGGCGGUGUGUCACGUCGGCCGUGAAAACCUGCAGCUUAACUGUGGGCGUGCGGUCGAUACGGGCAUCACUGGAGUUCGGCAGGGGAGACUGGAAUUCCUGGUGUAGCGGUGAAAUGCGCAGAUAUCAGGAGGAACACCAACGGCGAAGGCAGCUCGCUGGGACGUUACUGACACUGAGGCGCGAAAGCGUGGGGAGCGAACAGG
rnacentral:rRNA from 1 species